rnacentral:lncRNA from 1 species
AUGGAGUGCUGGCCUUGGCUUCCCCGUGAGAGGGGCAAGGCAGCUAGGCAUGUAUUUGCAGGGAAGCAAACUUCUAGAACAAACAGAAAACACACACGCUCCACAUCCUGUCGGCCAAGCCCAGGGCUCCCAGUCCUGACAGGUGAUCCAUUCCGGCUUCCUCACCGAGACGUGAGCCAUGAAGCGGGGCGCAGACUGGGGUUCCCCACUUUCCAGCAGGGUGGGCCCGCAAAGGCGACCUCCACAGGCGCUGCAUCUGCAAGCUCCGCAGCGUUCUUGCGGUUCCUCCAGCACACCCGAGUCUUCCCCACCCCAGGGCCUUUGAGUGGACGCCUGUCCUGGCCUGGUGGGCUCCUCCCGCGGCCCCCUGCCCUCAGGAACAUUGUCUCUAAGGCUGCAGGCAUCAGCUUAAACCCCAUCUUCUCAAAGAGCCCUUCCCCGGCUAUCCUGUGCACUGAAGGGCGCCCCCACCCCCAGUUAUUCUCUAUCUCGGGCCCUCGUUUGUGUUCUUCAGAUAUUUGUCCCAAUCUCUAACUCUCCUUAUUUGCUCUUUCUUCCUGUUCAAACGUGAAGGGCCUGGGGAGUUGCUCUCAGCCGGGUCAGUGCAGUACCUGGGGUCCGAUGAGGACUCAAUCAAUAUCUGUUUAAAUCAUAAUAAAUGUCCUUGCUUUGUCCAGGCUUAAUGAGUUCAAGACGAAAAUCAAUAACAGCCACCAGAACCCAGAAUCUCCACUCCUGAGGGCCAUUUUAUCUUCCACUGAGCUCAUGCGAAUGACAAAUAUCAGUGGCAGAAAGAUACAUAGCCCAGAAGGUCAAGGGAACUAAUGAUUUUAGUGGCAAACAAACAAAUAAAGAAAUGACCCGCUCUCUGGUGUGUCUUCCAUCCGCUGCGCACUAUACCAGCUGUGUAACAUUUUCCCCCACGUCAGCUUGAAAACCUUCUCUACCUGCGUAAGUACAGAGUGUGUUUAUAAAAAUAUCCUAACUUAAUGGUCUGGAUGAAGUGAUAUUAUCAGUGAUGAGCUAAUACACGGAAUUUAUAAGNNNNNNNNNNNNCUUACAGCUGAUUCACGUUAUUGUACAGCAAAAAUAACACAACACUGUAAAGCAAUUCUCCUCCUCUUAAAAAAAAAUCCUGUGGCAAGCCAAAUGAAAAAGAAUACUUAAAAAAGACUGUAUACAUAUGUAUAGCCAAAUCAACUUUGCUGUAUAACAGGAAUUAACAGCAUUGUAAAUCAACUAUACAUCAACAAAAUAAUUAAAUAGGGAAAAAGUUCUAUUUAUACAGUACAAAUUUGUCAAGUGCCUGAGAUUAUAAAUAAAUGAAUAAAGCAAUUCUACACUCAAGAGCUAAUAGUCUUGCUCAGAACACAA